rnacentral:rRNA from 1 species
GACGAACGCUGGCGGCGUGCUUAACACAUGCAAGUCGAACGGAAAGGCCCUGCUCUUGUGGCGUUCUCGAGUGGCGAAGGGGUGAGUAACACGUGUGUAACCUGCCCUUAAAUUUGGGAUAACUUCACGAAACUGGGGCUCAUACAGGGUAGGAUCUUCUGCAGCAUGGUGGUGAUUGGAAAGUUUCGGCCGUUCUGGAUGGACUCGCGGCUUAUCAGCUUGAUGGUGGGGUAGGGGCUUACCAAGGCUUUGACGGGUAGCCGGCCUGAGAGCGUGACCGGCCACAUUGCGACUGAGAUACGGCGCAGACUCCUACGGGAGGCAGUAGGGGAGAAUAUUGCACAAUGGGCGGAAGCCUGAUGCAGCAACGCCGCGUGCGGGAUGACGGCCUUCGGGUUGUAAACCGCUUUCGCCUGUGACGAAGCGUGAGUGACGGUAAUGGGUAAAGAAGCACCGGCUAACUACGUG